rnacentral:rRNA from 1 species
UAGGGAAUCUUCCACAAUGGGCGCAAGCCUGAUGGAGCAACACCGCGUGAGUGAAGAAGGGUUUCGGCUCGUAAAGCUCUGUUGUUAAAGAAGAACACGUAUGAGAGUAACUGUUCAUACGUUGACGGUAUUUAACCAGAAAGUCACGGCUAACUACGUGCCAGCAGCCGCGGUAAUACGUAGGUGGCAAGCGUUAUCCGGAUUUAUUGGGCGUAAAGAGAGUGCAGGCGGGUUUCUAAGUCUGAUGUGAAAGCCUUCGGCUUAACCGGAGAAGUGCAUCGGAAACUGGAUAACUUGAGUGCAGAAGAGGGUAGUGGAACUCCAUGUGUAGCGGUGGAAUGCGUAGAUAUAUGGAAGAACACCAGUGGCGAAGGCGGCUACCUGGUCUGCAACUGACGCUGAGACUCGAAAGCAUGGGUAGCGAACAGGAUUAGAUACCCUGGUAGUCCAUGCCGUAACGAUGAGUGCUNNGNGUUGGAGGGUUUCCGCCCUUCAGUGCCGGAGCUAACGCAUUAAGCACUCCGCCUGGGGAGUACGACCGCAAGGUU